AUUGAACGCUGGCGGAAUGCUUUACACAUGCAAGUCGAACGGCAGCACGGACUUCAGUCUGGUGGCGAGUGGCGAACGGGUGAGUAAUGUAUCGGAACGUGCCCAGUCGUGGGGGAUAACGUAGCGAGAAUUACGCUAAUACCGCAUACGAUCUAUGGAUGAAAGCGGGGGAUCGCAAGACCUCGCGCGAUUGGAGCGGCCGAUAUCAGAUUAGGUAGUUGGUGGGUAAAGGCCCACCAAGCCAACGAUCUGUAGCUGGUCUGAGAGGACGACCAGCCACACUGGAACUGAGACACGGUCCAGACUCCUACGGGAGGCAGCAGUGGGGAAUUUUGGGCAAUGGGCGAAAGCCUGAUCCAGCCAUUCCGCGUGCAGGAUGAAGGCCCUCGGGUUGUAAACUGCUUUUGUACGGAACGAAAAGGUUUCUACUAAUACUAGGAGCUCAUGACGGUACUGUAAGAAUAAGCACCGGCUAACUACGUGCCAGCCGCCGCAGUAA
rnacentral:rRNA from 1 species